UUCAGUCUCUCUUCAGAGAAACAGAGACAACAAUGGGCUGUGGGAACCCAAGGGGACUCCUAGCCAAGUCUGCUCAAAAGAGCCAGUGGAAGCAGCAUCGUGGACACACAACUGUCCUGCCAUCCUGUGGUGAACGCUGACGUCUUUAGAGGAACCACGGGCUGCAGGAGGUUCUUGUCAAGCUAGGCACACAGCAGGACUCCAGGAUAAGGCUGGGGAAGCCAUCUUGGGAGAGGUUGUCCCCUGGAUCCUGCACAUCUGGGAUGGUGAUGCUUGGAUGAUGAUGUGUGUUGGAGGUGAAGCUAAUAUGUACAGAGGAUGGACGGUCACAGAACUGGGCACGGGUCAUUAUAGAGAGGGCAGGCCUACCCUUGGCCUUCUGUUCACACAUUCAAAGGACUGUAUAACCUCAGCAGGGCGUGGGCACCACUGGUCCUCAGAAGACUUUACUCUCCACCAUUCGCCCUCUGAACUUGUACAUUUACUCAUAGACAGGUACAAAAACUUGGGGGCUCUCUUAGACUUGGUCCUUCAGAAGACCAGAGAUCAGCUGGGUCAGCCUGGACAAGCUUGGGGCAAAAUCCAGCAUCCCAUCUGGACGCCAUGGGAGCCUGCUGUGCGGUGACCAAAUGCAGCUUCAUGUUGGCUUUUCUGUCUGUGCCAGGUUUUCUAAAUUUAGAGAGGCCUUCAGAGACUCAGAUCAAGAUGGUCGGGGAACUGGGAUCAAGGAAAGCUAUCCUCGGGCUACAGCGGCUGUGCUGUGGUGAUUGAGAGUGGAGACGUGUAGAAGGCGGCUGGGUGCAGCGGCUCUGCUCACAGCACCCUCUCCCUGGCUACUGCAAUGCUCGCUCAUUUGGGCAACAAACACUUGGUGACCAAGAACCAUCAGUGCACCCCAGGCAAGUAUUUGGUCCAUAACCAACACUGUGUACCUGGAAAGUACCUGCUCAGAACCAUUGCCACAACAAUCAGACAUCUAAGCCCGUGCCACCACUGUGCACUAACACCUGACUCAGAAUCAUCACUGUGCACUGGGAAAGCACCUGAUACAGAACCACCAAUAUGCACCUGGCAAGUACCUGGUCUGCAAUCAUCACUGUAUGCCAGGCAAUCACCUAAGCUGGUGCCACCACUGUGCGCUAAGAAGAUGGUAUACUACACUGAAGAAAACAGGGAG